rnacentral:rRNA from 1 species
AUUGAACGCUGGCGGCAUGCCUUACACAUGCAAGUCGAACGGCAGCACGGGAGCAAUCCUGGUGGCGAGUGGCGAACGGGUGAGUAAUAUAUCGGAACGUGCCCGGUCGUGGGGGAUAACGUAGCGAAAGCUACGCUAAUACCGCAUACGAUCUACGGAUGAAAGCGGGGGAUCGCAAGACCUCGCGCGAUUGGAGCGGCCGAUAUCAGAUUAGGUAGUUGGUGAGGUAAAGGCUCACCAAGCCGACGAUCUGUAGCUGGUCUGAGAGGACGACCAGCCACACUGGGACUGAGACACGGCCCAGACUCCUACGGAGGCAGCAGUGGGGAAUUUUUGGACAAUGGGCGCAAGCCUGAUCCAGCAAU